rnacentral:rRNA from 1 species
AGAGUUUGAUCAUGGCUCAGAUUGAACGCUGGCGGCAUGCCUUACACAUGCAAGUCGAACGGCAGCGCGGGAGCAAUCCUGGCGGCGAGUGGCGAACGGGUGAGUAAUACAUCGGAACAUGUCCAGUAGUGGGGGAUAGCCCGGCGAAAGCCGGAUUAAUACCGCAUACGAUCCAUGGAUGAAAGCGGGGGACCUUCGGGCCUCGCGCUAUUGGGGUGGCCGAUGGCAGAUUAGGUAGUUGGUGGGGUAAAGGCCUACCAAGCCGACGAUCUGUAGCUGGUCUGAGAGGACGACCAGCCACACUGGGACUGAGACACGGCCCAGACUCCUACGGGAGGCAGCAGUGGGGAAUUUUGGACAAUGGGCGCAAGCCUGAUCCAGCAAUGCCGCGUGUGUGAAGAAGGCCUUCGGGUUGUAAAGCACUUUUGUCCGGAAAGAAAUCCUCUGGUCUAAUACAUCGGGGGGAUGACGGUACCGGAAGAAUAAGCACCGGCUAACUACGUGCCAGCAGCCGCGGUAAUACGUAGGGUGCGAGCGUUAAUCGGAAUUACUGGGCGUAAAGCGUGCGCAGGCGGUGAUGUAAGACCGAUGUGAAAUCCCCGGGCUUAACCUGGGAACUGCAUUGGUGACUGCAUCGCUCGAGUAUGGCAGAGGGGGGUAGAAUUCCACGUAGCAGUGAAAUGCGUAGAGAUGUGGAGGAAUACCGAUGGCGAAGGCAGCCCCCUGGGUCAAUACUGACGCUCAUGCACGAAAGCGUGGGGAGCAAACAGAAUUAGAUACCCUAGUAGUCC